rnacentral:rRNA from 1 species
CCCUUAGAUGUUCUGGGCUGCACGCGUGCUACAAUGGCGCUUGCAACAAGAUUGCCAACCCGAAAGGGUGAGCGGAUCUUUGAAGUGGCGUCGUGAUCGGGACAGUUGAUUGCAAUUAUUCGACUCGAACGAGGAAUUCCUUGUAAUCGCGAUUCAUCAUAUCGCGCUGAAUACGUCCCUGCCCUUUAUACACACCGCCCGUCGCUCCUACCGAUUGAGCGAUCCGGUGAAUGUUUUGGACUGGUGUCCGCAAGCGUUUCGCUUCGGACGCUACGAAAUUUUGUAAACCUUAUCGCUUAGAGGAAGGAAAAGUCGUAACA